GUGUACCCGUCGAUGAUGCAUUUCCAUUUCCCAGCUUUGCAACGACGUAAGUGUUGGCCACCGGGAUCUCUGCAUUUCUUUUUCUACAUUGCGCAUUGGGCCGCUCCACAGUGGCUCCAUUAAAUUCUAAAAAGUGUUUUUAUUGCUCUCAUUACGGUUGUCGGUCUUCGUCGAUAACAUGAUAUCCAGAUUUAAGGGCGGACUAGGAUUUGAAAUUAUGUCCCUGCUGCCCUCGGCUGCUUCCUUUGACGAUAGCUUCUUCGGAUAAGUGACUCUACUCUGCGUAGCACGUGUUAGUACUGGUGAAUUGGGCUCAACAACUAUCCUGGAACGCCGUGAAGGUUGAGGGGGGCUGAAAACUUCCUUUUGUUUCCUGAUUCGACUGCUACGUCCACCUCCCAAUAUUUCAUUAUCAGAAGAUGGGAUAUCCGAAUUUUGUGGAACAGGAACUUUGCCUAAGUCAGGAAGUUCAAUGCGUUUGAAAUACAGUUCAAGUGCAGCAUAAGCUUUGUCCAAGUCAUCUAUAAUUUAAAAAAUUAUAUUAAUGUACGAAAAAAAAUUUGUUGCUGUUAUGGUGUUAUUAACAUAUGUCUGCUUUAUGUUGAUUUGGUACAUCUCCCAUUUCUCCUCAUCGGCUACAGAAUGCUUUCUAACCAUUUUGUACAGUCCAAGUUUGUCGAGCUUGUCAAUGUGGUAUGGCCAAUAGACAAAUUCCCUAUUUUUUCUACACCACACACUGGAUAUUACACAGCGAUGUAUAUCACUUUGGUCAGUCAAUAACCAAGCGUCAACAAUCAAAAACGUUUUCCCUUUCUCUUCGUCCACGCAACUUCUGCAGAGAAACAUCAAAACUUAAUGAUAAACGCACUUCUAAAAUUACCGUCUGAUUUCCCAAACCCAAAAAAUAUUCGUAGUGAAACUUCAAGUCGCGUGGCUGAUAUAUAUGGUCAAAAAUUGUGAAGGCUGAAGAAGAAGGGAAUUUGGCUGAUUUCGCAGUGCACAUUGGGUUGCCAUUAUAAUACCCUUAAACAAUUCAAAAUUUAUAUAUCUAAUUUGUAUAACUAGAUUUCCCAAUCGAAAAAACUUUAAUUUUGAGAUUUACUUAAUUAAUUUUUCGAAUUUUUAUUAUAAGUAACCAAAAGGUAGGUAAACGGCAACUUUGAGACUCAAUUUAGACCUUACUCAUUUCAAUUCUGUUCGUUUCUGUAAAAAUGAAGUCUGCUGUGGAAUAUUUUCAACGUGGCCCCUAUAAUUUUUUGUGCAAAUCGAAUUGUUUUAACGGAUUACUUAUUUUGAUCUCUGUGCUUUUCCAUGGAUAAUAACUAAUACAACAAGACACAAAGCAGCAACUUUUCAAUAGAGGCAAAUAAAGGUUUGUGCUCUCGUUUACUUUGCAUACCUUACCUCAUUCAACAUACAUUGUAAUAUAUGAUGCCGAAACAAAGAGCAACUCAAGAUUUUGUUGGUGAGAGGCAACAACGUAGACAAUUUCGUCCACUGCCUCGUACUGCGAAUGCAAUGGAUACCGAUCGAAAUCAAAACGCAGCUGCUUGUAUGGUGCCACCACAUUUUGAUGCAGCGAAUCAUCAGCAUGCAAUUCUUGAAGAUGCAGUUGACCGAAUUUAAGAAGCCCAUAAACUCCAUGGAGCAGAAAUCAAUUUAAACGGCCAUCACAUGAAUAAUGGCGCUGAUUCCAGUGACGUAGACCUUCAAUCACUGGUCGAUGCUAAUGACAGCGAUAACAUUUCAGACCAAGAAGCAGUAUGUGACAGUGAUUCGUAUGAUGUGCCUAGUGCUACUGAUAAAGACGUAUCUAAUUUCGGAGGUGUUCAUGACCAGUCUGAUUAUGAUUGGCUUGAGGAGGAAGUUGACAACAAUGAAGAAAAGCAAAAAAAAAAAAAGAAUUGAAACGUGAUUUGACAAAAUGGGUCAUUGAAUGUGGAAUCUCACCAGCACACAACAACAAGUUGCUCAUUUUAUUGAAAACCUGCAAUGAAUUGGCUUUUUUACCCAACGAUUAUCGAGCCCUUUUAACAACUGUCCGCAAUGUAACUACAAAGGAAGUCCAUCCAGGCAGUUAUUUUCACUUCUGCUUAAGAGUAGGCAUUUUACGUUCUCUUUAUCGUUUAAAUCUUGAAAAUGUUCCGGAUAACAUUAAACUGUUCGUCAACAUUGAUGGUAUUCCGCUUGCAAAAAGUAGUAACAGCCAAUUUUGGCCAAUUUUAGUCGCCAUUCGUGGAUUCAGAGCUUCCAGCCCAUUUGUAGUUGGGAUCUAUCACGGAAGUACCAAGCCGAAAUUUGUAAAUGAUUAUUUGUGAGAUUUCAUUACUGAAGCCAUCCUAUUGGAAUCUGAUGAGGUUGUCUUCCGAGAGUCAAAAAUAAAAGUGUCAGUUGCAGCCUUCAUCUGCGAUUUGCCAGCUCGAUCGUUUAUUACGAAAGUCAUGUCCCACAAUGCCUAUUUUGGAUGUCCAAAGUGUGAAACAAAAGGUUCAUUCUAUAAUCCUAUGGUAAAUAAUGCAAGAUAAGGACAUGUAACAUAUCCGCAACUUGACGCGCUUCCGAGAACCGAUCAAUCCUUUAGGAACAAGUCACAACCAGAACAUCACCAUGAAGGAGAUUCUUUACUUGAAGAACUUAAUCUUGAUCUAGGGUUUCAUGUUCCCGUAGAUCCGAUGCAUUUAACAGAUCUCGGGGUAAAUAGAAAGCUAUUUGUUUCUUGAACCCGUGGAAAAGAUCAUAAUGUAAAAUUGUCUCGGGUGCAAAGAGGUCGUUUGGCUGAAAGAAUUGAAUGUAUUCGCUCUUUCAUACCCAAGUAUUUUCCUCGAAAGCUUGGAGCAUUAGAACUUUUGGACAAAUGGAAAAGCACUUGCUUUAGGAUGAUCAAACUGAGAUUAGGACCAGUCUUGUUACGUCAUAUUUUACCGAACAAUUUGUAUGACCAUUUUUUCCUUUUCAUGUUGCGAUGGUAUUGCUUUCAAAUUAGCAAGAAUGCGUUAAACCAGAAGUGACUGAUUAUUGUUCCCAACUCUUAAAAAAGUUUGUUGCGCAAUCUGUUACAUAAUAUGGCCAGCAAUUUGUAUCAGCUAAUGUACAUAACCUGAUACAUUUAACUGUAGAUGUAGCAAAUUUUGGUCAUGUGGAUUCGUUUAGCGCAUAUCCGUUUGAAAAUUAUUUACAAAUUAUCAAGAAUCUUGUUCGCAAAAGUGCAAAACCAUUUCAGCAGAUUGUAAAACGCUUAAGUGAGCUGGAAAUGGCUAGUCUUGUUGAGCCAUACAUGGAAAACCAAAAUUUAAUGGUUCUUGAAGAUGAACACUUUUCUGGGCCCCUCCUUCCUAAUAUGCGGACAGAAAAGCAGUUCAAAAGAGCAAAGUUAAAAACUUGGAUAUUGAGUAGUAAAAAGCCUGACAAUUGUGUGUAUCUUCACGACAUGUCAAUCGCGCUUGUAGAAAAUUUCAUUAAGCGUCAUCAUCAAAUUAUAAUUAUUGGAAGGAAAUUUGAAUCAUACGACGAUUUGUAUCUUCUCCCUGUGAAAUCCAGGCAGCUUGGAAUUCAUGUUGUGAAGCAGCUGGGAAGUCUUAAUGUUUGGCCAAUAUCUGCGAUUCGUUGCAAAGGUUUUAUUGUUCCAUCAUUCAUUCCAUCUGAGGAUGGCCAAUACAAUUCAUUUGUUGUUUUCUCUUUAUUAGCAAAAACAUACGGAUUGUCAUAAAUUCAUGUAUACAGCUGUGAAAUAAAAAUCAUGAAAAUUUCA
rnacentral:lncRNA from 1 species